rnacentral:lncRNA from 7 species
CAGCAUUGAUCAGCAUGAUGUGAUCAACAGGCAAAACUGGCUUUGUCAGGGUGUGUCUCUGAAGAGGACAACUUUACUACAGUUUCAUAAAACUUGUGAAAGCAAGUGAACUGCCAAAUGCAUACGGUAUAAAUAUUCAACAGACACAAGUUCCAACAGUGUUCACAGCUGCAGCUUCAGAAGGUGUUACAGCUUCUCUUUGAAACACCAGCACAUGCAGCACCCAGUGAUAGUCUGCUCCAUGUGAGACCUUCACUAAAGUCAAAGCCCUAUUCGUUCUGCCUUGUAAAGGUUUACUUGCUCUUGUUCUUCAUGUUCUCUCCACAUUCCAUCAAGUGAGGGGAGUAGAGAGCAGUUGCUUGGCUGCUGGAUGAGGAGGGAGGAGAUGGGCAGGUGGAAUUUAAAUAAACAGAGCGUCACUGAAUACUACCUAUGAAGUCAAUGAAUGUGGUAUAUAACUUGUAUCGACCACAUGAUGAUUAGGCUUGGAUAUGGUAAGAAUUUAUUUAUUUCUGGUUUGCGGUGUUGAAUCUCUUGUUGCUGUCUUUCUAAUAAAUAAAUAAAUAAAUGAAAAGUGUGAGGUGGAAAUAGCGUAUAAGAAAAUACAAAAUAUCCCUGUAUGACAGAGUCAGCACUGAAAUCAUUGAUCUUAUUUAUGAUUACAAACUGUUAUGGCAGUAAUUCAGUGAGGUAGGCAUUUCUUGACUGUUUCAUCUGUAUUUCCUCAGAAAACAUAUAGAUCUCUUUUUCUUUAAAAAUACAAAUGUGACCACAGAAGCAAAUAGCCUUUCAGAUGUACAAUUCCAUUUUCAAAUCAAUUAUCUUGUCAGAUUUCCCUCUUUUUGUCCUCUGUUAUAGGAUUAAAAAGGAGAUUCAAGCUUUAACUCUUUUUGAAUAUAGUGAAUCUUUGUAUAUUGAAUAUACUGUGAGAAGCCCCCAGCAAAACUUGAAUGUGUCAUGAAACAUUUCUUUUGAACAGUGUGCUUUUCCCUGGCUUUCUUUGAGAUAGCCAUGAUCACACAUACAUUGUUUUCAUUACUGAAACCUGAAUAUGCAGAAAACUUUGGUGUGAUGAUUCAUACUGCUAGGAUAAGUAGAUAUUUCUAUAGGGCAGCUGUUAUUCUCUACCUAGCAAUAAUGUUUAUAGAUAGAAAUGAACUUGUACAUGUUCUGAUUAAGUAUAUCAAAACUUGACUGUUCUUCCUGGAUGCAUCUCAGCAACAGAAAAGUAGGUGAAGAAACUUUUGCACAUAUAUUUUGAUGUAAUUUUCAUUAUUUCCUAAAAUAGAUAUCAAAGAAAUACUGUUCAGUUUCCACCAGUUUUUACACUAAAAUUGUCUGUGUUAUAUUUAUUGUAUUGCUUAAUGUACCUGCCUCCAAUAAAAGGACAGAAUCUUUUGU